rnacentral:lncRNA from 1 species
CUCUAUAAGCUUCUUUUCAAUCUCUUCAAGCUUCUUUCCAAACCUCUUAAAUGCCUCUAAUGGACCGGCAUCAGAAGUCCAGUAGUCACCACCAUCUCUCUGCCCAAGGUAGAACUCAUCAGAUGCGUGCCUUGACAAGAUUUCUAUAACUGUAAGGUCAAUGAGGGUCUCCUUCUUGCCAGUAAUAGUCUUCAAAAACUCCUUCUCAGGGUUCUUAGCCAACGCAUCAUAUUCAGGAGACCCCUUUUCAGGCAUGAAUCUCCUGCUAAUAGUUGGCCUGUUUAGGAUUAAACCUCCAUAUGGAUACUGUCCAAAGUUAACAGCAGCAUGAAGGGCUGAAGCAAUCCAUAUGAGGAUAGCGGAAGCUUCAACCAACUCUUCACGAGUUUGCAUCUUUUGCCACCAUGGCUUAUCUUUCAAAUCACCAUGACCCACCUCUACAAGUUCUUUCCACCAAGCUUGGAGUUCAG